rnacentral:rRNA from 1 species
ACGUACGCUGGCGGCACGCCUAACACAUGCAAGUCGAACGAAGUAGCAAUACUUAGUGGCAGACGGGUGAGUAACAUGUAAGUAUCUGCCCUAUGGCCUGGAAUAACACGAGGAAACUUGUGCUAAUACCGGAUAAGUCUUUACGGAGAAAGCUUUAUGCACCAUUGGAUGAGCCUGCACUUGAUUAGUUUGUUGGUGGGGUAAUGGCCUACCAAGACUGUGAUCAAUAGCUGAUUUGAGAGGAUGAUCAGCCACAUUGGGACUGAGACACGGCCCAAACUCCUACGGGAGGCAGCAGUGGGGAAUCUUGCACAAUGGAGGAAACUCUGAUGCAGCGAUGCCGCGUGAGUGAAGAAGGCCUUUGGGUUGUAAAGCUCUUUCGUCGGGGAAGAAAAUGACUGUACCCGAAUAAGAAGGUCCGGCUAACUUCGUGCCAGCAGCCGCGGUAAUACGAAGGGACCUAGCGUAGUUCGGAAUUACUGGGCUUAAAGAGUUCGUAGGUGGUUGAAAAAGUUGGUGGUGAAAUCCCAGAGCUUAACUCUGGAACUGCCAUCAAAACUUUUCAGCUAGAGUAUGAUAGAGGAAAGCAGAAUUUCUAGUGUAGAGGUGAAAUUCGUAGAUAUUAGAAAGAAUACCAAUUGCGAAGGCAGCUUUCUGGAUCAUUACUGACACUGAGGAACGAAAGCAUGGGUAGCGAAGAGGAUUAGAUACCCUCGUAGUCCAUGCCGUAAACGAUGUGUGUUAGACGUUGGAAAUUUAUUUUCAGUGUCGCAGCGAAAGCGAUAAACACACCGCCUGGGGAGUACGACCGCAAGGUUAAAACUCAAAUGAAUUGACGGGGACCCGCACAAGUAGUGGAGCAUGUGGUUUAAUUCGAAGAUACGCGCAGAACCUUACCAACACUUGACAUGUUCGUCGCAACUCUAAGAGAUUAGAGUUUUCGGUUCGGCCGGACGAAACACAGGUGCUGCAUGGCUGUCGUCAGCUCGUGUCGUGAGAUGUUGGGUUAAGUCCCGCAACGAGCGCAACCCUCACUUUUAGUUGCCAUCAUUAAGUUGGGCACUCUGAAAGAACUGCCAGUGAUAAGCUGGAGGAAGGUGGGGAUGACGUCAAGUCCUCAUGGCCCUUACGUGUUGGGCUACACACGUGCUACAAUGGUAUCUACAACAGGAAGCAAGACUGCGAAGUUAAGCAAAUCCCUAAAAGAUACCUCAGUUCGGAUUGCACUCUGCAACUCGAGUGCAUGAAGCUGGAAUUACUAGUAAUCGUGGAUCAGCGUGCCACGGUGAAUGCGUUCCCGGGUCUUGUACUCACCGC